UUUCCGUAGGUGAACCUGCGGAAGGAUCAUUAUCGAAUUUCGAGGGGAAGGAAGAUGAGGAGUGGAGACUGUCGCUGGCCUUCCCGCCUGGGAGGCAUGUGCACGCCUUGCUCUUCGUUGACCUUUCUCUUACUCUCACACCUGUGCACCCAUUGUAGGUCCUCGAAAGAGGAUCUAUGUUUUUAUCAUCACACGCAUCGUAUGUCCAUAGAAUGUAACAUGAUCGUCGAUCGACCUCGCGGUCGGGUGGCGGUCUAAAUAAAUAAAUACAACUUUCAGCAACGGAUCUCUUGGCUCUC
rnacentral:misc_RNA from 1 species